rnacentral:lncRNA from 1 species
CCGUGCCGUGCCCGUGCCGUGCAGUGCCAUGCUGGCAAGGCACACUUGACACCUCUACACAUUACCAAAUCAUACUCAAAUUCCUGUCAGCUUUAAUAGAGAUAUAAGACUCAAUUCUAUGUUAAUUCUCAAGAAUGUCCUGUUUAUUCCUCAGUUCAAGUUUAAUCUACUUUCUGUUAGUGCUCUUACAAAUGGUCAGCUAUAAUAAUUUCUUCCAUGAUUGCUUUCAUUUUUAUCAGGACAUCAAUAGCCGAGGAUGAUUGGCAAGGGUUUAAAAUUUGAAGACCUUUAUGUUCUUGAUACUACUACACUGAAUUCUGUUUCCACAUCAUGUGUAAACAAUGUUUCAACUCAUGUUUGCAUAAUAAACAUCUUGAAACAGCAACUCCACUUCAAGAAUCAAUAAAAUUGAUCCUUGUCAUAUAUGUCCUUUAGCAAAACAAAGAAGACUAUCUUUUGCUUCUCAUAACCAUAUGUCUCCAUUUCCUUUUGAUUUGGUUCAUUGUGACAUUUGGGGAACCUUAUCAUACUCCUUCACAUUCUAGACAUAGAUUUUUCUUGACUUUGGUGGAUGAUUGCACUCGUUGUACACGGAUUUUUUUACUUAAACAGAAGUCUGAUGUUGCUGUCAUUAUUCCCAAAAUUUUCAAUCUGAUAUCUACUCAAUUUAGUGCCAAAAUAAAGGUAUUCAGAUCUGAUAAUUCCAGAGAAUUGGUUUUUGCUGAAUUCUUCAAUGACAAAGGGGUAUUACAUCAAUUCUCUUGUGUAGACAUACCACAUAAAAACUCAGUUGUAGAAAAAAAAUACUAACAUCUGCUCAAUGUUGUUCUGGCCUUGUACUUUCAGUCAAGGGUUCCUAUUAAAUUUUGGAGUGAAUGUGUUCUCACUGCCACUUUUAUCAUUAACAGAACUCCAUCUCCAUUGCUCCACAAUAAAUCUCCUUAUGAGUAAUUUAUAGAACUGAUGUAGAUUACUCAAUAUUCAGAGUUUUUGGUUGCUUAGCCUUUGCAUCCACUCUAAAUGGUCAUAGAACAAAGUUUCAACAAAGAUCUCACGUGUGUGUUCUACUUGGUUAUCCUCCUGGCAUAAAAGGAUACAAGCUAUAUGAUGUUCAGAAUAACUAGAUUUUUAUCUCAAAAGAUGUAAUUUUUCAUGAAGAAAUUUUUCCCUUCCACACUGACUAAAUCAGACAAGUUGGUUGAUCCCUGACCUUGUCUUACCUAUACCAUCUAUGGAACCUGUUGUUUAUCAACACUAAACACCCAUUACAAUUAAAAUUAAUGGUAGGAACUAAAGACUCAAUAUCAAAAUUACUUAUCUUAUAAUUCUCUAUCUGCAUCUCACAAGAACUUUGUUAUGAAUGUCCUUCUCAAUAUGAGCCUCAGUAUUAUCACCAAGCUGUUAAAUUUUCACAAUGGAGGGAUGCCAUGAAAGCUGAAUUAGAUGCUAUAGAAUUCAAUAACACUUGGGCAGUCAUUCCGUUACCGAAAGGGAAACAUUCUAUUGGCUGCAAAUGGUUUUUAAGACUAAAUACAAGUAUGAUGGAUCCAUAGAGAGACACAAAGCUCGUUUGGUUGCUAAAUGUUACACUCAACAAGAAGGGCUUGACUUCAUUGAAACCUUUUCUCCUGUGGCUAAGUUUGUAACUGUCAAAGUCCUAUUAGCUUUUGCCACCAAUCAAAAUUGGCAUUUGAUUCAACUUGAUGUGACAAUGCCUUUCUAAAUGGUGACUUAUUUAAAGAAGUAUACAUGGAUCUUCCUCUUGGCUAUCAUAGUAAGGGGGAGAGGUGCAUACAUGGAGCUAAUUUAGUUUUCAAGCUUCACAAGUCCAUAUAUGAUCUCAAGCAAGCAUCAAGACAGUGGUACUCCAAGUUUUCUCAGAACCUUCUUCAGUUUGGUUUUACUCAAUCUAAAUCUAUUUACUCUCUAUUUACCCUCUAUUUACCAAAGGUUCAUGAUCAUCUUUUAUUGCAUUAUUGGUAUAUGUUGAUGACAGUAUCAUUACUAGUCCAUGUUCUCAAGUUAUUAACUCUCUGAAAUCCUUCAUUCAUAGUCAGUUUAAACUGAAAGAUUUGGGAUGUUUGAAAUAUUUUCAUGGUCUUGAAAUUGCUAAAUCUGUCAAACGGAUUAUUUUAUCUCAAAGACAUUAUACUUUAUAGUUUCUUGAAGAUACAAGAUUCCUUGCUUGCAAGCCUGCUAGUGGUCCAAUGGACCCUAAAAUUCAACAUAAUGCUACUGAUGGUGAUUUGCUCACUGAAUAUGUCUCAUUACGGAUGACUUAUUGGUCGUCUUCUUUACUUCAAAUUUUCCAGGCCUAAUAUCACAUUUGUUGUCCACAAGCUCAGUCAAUAUUUGGCUCAACCUCGUUCCCCAUCUGCAAGCUGCUCAUCAUCUUCUCAUAUAUCUAAAAUCCAAUCCUGGUCAGGGAUUAUUCUUCUCUUCGUCUUCACCUCAAGGCCUUCUCUGAUGCAGAUUGGGGUUCUUGUUUGGAUACUAGAAAGUCCGUUACUGGGUUUAUAUAUUCAUUGGUGAUUCCUUAGUCUCAUGGAAAGCUAGGAAACAAACUACAAUUUCCAGAUCUUCUACAGAAGUAGAAUAUAGAGUAUUAGCUUCUACUGCUAGUGAAUUGGUUUGGAUACAUCAGUUGCUAAAAUAUUUUCAGAUUGAUGUUUCAUCUCCAGCUCUUCUUUUUUGUGAUAACCAGGCUGCUAUUCAUAUUACUUCAAAUCUAACCUUUUAUGAAAGGACUAAAUAUAUAGAGAUCAAUUGCCACUUCAUUUGUGAUAAAAUUACCAAAGGAUUUAUCAUACUUAUGCUUAUUCAAUCUCAACAUCAACUAGCUGAUUUUUUACCAAAGCUUUACCAACUUCUUCCCUGUUUCCACUCUUAUCCAAGAUGGAUGUGAAAGACAUUCACUGUCCAUCUUGAGGGGGAGUAUUAAAUCUCAUAUAAAUAAUUAGUUAUCCAUUUAAGUAGUUAGAGUAACCUUAUCUUGAUUUUGUAAAUAAUACUAGUAUAAAUACACAAUGUAACAGAAGUUCAAUAGAUAUACAAGAAAUUCUCUUUUCUUCUCAUUUCGAAUUUGUUAAGGGAAGCCAAAGCCUUUCAUGGGGCAUGUCCAAAGUGUGGACAGAGCGACAUUGUUGCAUCCCCAACAAUAACUAGUCUAUUGAAGCUUCCAUGAUGAUUCUUUGCUGGUGUGGGAAAUUUCACAUGGUCAAUCUGCAAUGUAAACAUCUUAAUUUUCUUGGAAAAUUAAGAUGAGUGGAAUAGGGUAGGGGGUGUAUCACUAACGCACCGAUAAGAUUCAUAAUAGAGUGUAGAUUUCCAAGUCCAUAGGUAAAAUUUUCCUCCACUCACUCCAUUGUAACGACUGAACCGCUUUGCAGUGUGCUAAGUUUAUAUAGGAAAUUUUCACGAGGGUCAGGUUUAUUACAUUCACAGUCAUUUUAGUGUAGCUACUCUUCUUCUAAGCACUCUGAAACAAGACAUGAUAAAAGGGCACAAGACCUUGACCUUAUCAAAUCUGUAUAAUUGAUCAUAACUUUCCCCCCCUAAUGAGUGUUAGUGGAAAAAAGGGACCCAAGAUGUCUUCAAAGUCUUCCUUAAGUGUAAAAUCAUAGCCAGAAUAACGCAAGAAGGACCUUUAGGAAAAAGUUACCCUGCUGUUUCCAUAGUCCGUUUGUUUUGUCGUCUGUAAGCAGGUUCUUCGAAAGCUUUUCAUUCUCUCGUUCCCUAAUCUUGCAAUAUGGAUUCUGUAUCAAUCAACUCUCUGGUCCAUCCCACUCAAAUUGGUUCACCUCUCCAAGCUCGUUUACCUUGAUUUGUCCCCUCCACCCAAUCAAUUUUCGGGGAACAUUCCCAAGAAAUUGGCCUAGUUAACAAAUUUCGAAACCUUCCAGCUGUUCGAAAACCAGUUGAAUGGAUCAAUCCUCAAGAGAUAAGCAGUUUUAACGUUGUUUCAGGGCUUUGCCUUUUGUACACCAAUCGUUCAGUGGUCCCAUGCCUGCUUCUUGGUAAUUUUGAGCAACUUGAUUGGACUUUCUAUUCUUACGAAAAUCAACUUUCAGGCUCCAUCCCACCAGACAGAAAUAGGAAAUCCGUUAAUCUCGUGUUGCUUUUCAUGGAUCAUAACAAUCUAAACAGGUCAUUCCUUCAACUUUCGUGAAACAUGAAUUAGACUAAAUGUGUUAGCCCUGUUAUGUGAACCAACUUUCUGGUUCCAUUCCUCAAGAAUUCGGAAAAACUUGAAGUCCCCUCACCAAUUUAGAAUUGACCCAGAAUCAACUCUCAUGGAAUAUUCCUGCCUCAUAGGGAACCUGUCCAAAUUAGAAAACGCUCUUUCUUGCAUAUCAACAACGUUCGGGCUCAAUUUCAAACAGAAUUCGGCAAUUUGAAAAAAACUUGCUUUUAUUGGUAAUGGAUACAAAUCAGUUAUCUGGCCAUCUACCGGAAUUUGGCCAAGGUGGGAAACUUCAAAAAAUCAUGUUUGCAAAAACAAUCAGCUCAAGGGACCAAUCCCCAAAAGCUGGAAGAGACUGUCAAGCUUAGUCAGGAGUCCCCGCCGGAAGGAAAAACCAAUUCACUGGAAGCAUAUUCUGAAGCCUUUGGUUGUCUAUCCAAAUCUAAAACUACUUGGAUCUAAGUCGCAAAACUUUCUAUGGUGGAAACUCAAAAAAAACUGGAGUAGUAGCUGCCCCCCGGAUGCCCAAACUUGAUGAUGGCAGGGAACAACAUCACGGUAGUAUACCACCAGAGUUGGGAGAUUCGCCUCACUUGCAAAGGCUAAUCUUUCUUCCAAUCAUUUGAUUGGGGAGAUCCCAAAGGAAUUGGGAAGAGUUGAAUCUUGCAGAACUCUAUCUGACAGACACCACCAACAUUCUGGCAGUAUACAACAGCACUGGAUUGAUGACUAAACUGUUGAAGCUGACCUGUAAAAAACCAGAUAGGGGGCCCAAAUUGCAGCUGGAAAUUGGAGAAUGCAGGCAACUGAUUAACUUGAAGUUUGAGCAGCAAUACAUUUUAGCCUGACAUCCCAGAGCAGUGAGUAAUUACCUCAAACUUCGACCCUGGAUCGAGGUCACAAUUCACUCUCAGGUGAGAUACCAUGACAGAUCGGAAGUUUCCAGAGUUGGAGUGGUUGAGCCUCUCCCCCUUAAUAAUAUUUUGGUCCAUUCCAAGGGCAUUUGAAGACCAGCAUUGGUUUGCAGCACGUUUUGAUAGAUCCUACAAUGAGUUAGAGGGGCCAUUCCCACCAGCAAAGCCUUUUAUGAUGCUUUCAUAAGAGGGCACUGCAAGGAAACAAAGAUUUGUGUGGAAAAUGUACAGGAUUUCAGCCUGCAAAAAUAUUGUCUAGAGAAACAAAAAGACUCACGGCAUAACCGGACUCUUAUCUUGUAAUCAGCUCCCUCUUGGCGGAGCACUUUACUUCUAGGUGCGUCUGCGGAUUAUGAUGGAUGGAUUAGAAAGAAAGAAAAAGCAAGAAAAAGGGUGCCACGAUUGGGAUCUUUCUCCAUUCAAUAUACGAUGCAACAGCAAUGUAUAUGACAUCCUCAAGGCUAACCAAUAACUUUGAUCCUAUAUAUUGCAUAGGAAAGAGAGGAUUAUCGAAAUUAGAGUCAAGCUUUUCCGGGUUCUGUUCGUGUGCCCAACACUCUAUUUUGGUUUAUGAGUACCUCGAAAGGGGUAGCUUGGCUACAAUUUGCGCAGAGAUGAGAAGCUCAACAAUUUAGAUUGUCCAAAGAGAGUUAAUAUUGUCAAGGGUGUGGCGCAUCGCUUUAGCAAUAUGCACCAUGAUUGCGCACCCCCAAUUGUUCACGAGAAUAUCAAGCAGCAAUGUUUGAUUGAAAAGAGUUUGAGGCUCGUGAUCAGACUUUUGGCCACAGCUUAGCGUCUGAAGCCUGAUUCCUCUAAUUGGAGUGCACUUAAAGGCAUGUACGGAUAUGUUGCACCAGGUAACCGUAGUUUUAUAUGCUCCUAAAUUGACAUAGAAUCUAUUAAUUCACAGAUAGAUGAACAUUUCUUUGUCUCUGUCUCUCUCUCGUUUUCAGAGUUUGCUUAUACAAUGAAGGUGACUGAAAAGUGUGAUGUAUAUAACUUUGGAGUGUUAGCACUGGAAGUGAUCAAAGGAAGCCAUCCAGGAGAUUUUGUUUCCUCCUGGCAACCCAGCAGUGGGAAAAAUACAGCUGAAAGAGUAAUGGAUCAACGUCUUUUACCUCCCUCUACUCCAAGGAGGAGUAUAAUGUGCAUCAUGGCUUAUAUAGUUCAGGGAAAGGGAGGCUCACCCUACUGUAGGGUAACCCCAAGGAAACUUAGAACAAAAAUAGAGGCCUGCAAAACCAUGCAAAUCGUUUCUCAACUGUUAUCGGCCAGAACAAUUUUCUAAGUGCCUCAAAGAUGAUGUACCGAAAAUGUAAAGCUAUUUUUUCAUUAAUGAUGUAUUAGUAUCAAAUAGAUUAUACCAUCUGGCAAUUGUGUAUGUAUAUUUAUUGUCCACUUUAGGGUACUUAAUCAUACAGAUCAUAUAUAUAACAGGUUGUUGGCUUGUACUUUUAAUACUGUCUGAGAAAAAGAUAUAGCCAUUAUGCAAUUUUCGAUAUAUAGCGAUUAAAUUACACCAGAGGUCUUUGUAAAAUAAUCAGUUAUUUGGUCUGCUUAGUCUCGAUUGCACUAGAGAGGUGACUCUAUUCCCACCCUUUUUUGAUUCUUAGUACCCAAACCUUUCUCAGGACACCAUUUAAAAUAAACAAGGCUUUCCUUCUUAUUCCCAAACCGCCCUAUUUUCAACCUCCAAACCCUGGCAUAGUGAUUGAGGUUCUCACUUACUAGGUUCGAUAACUAGGUUUGAGUCUUAUCAUUGCAAGAUAUAACUUCUCUUCCCCUCUCCCCUCCGAAAGAUUGGCUAUAAAAAAAAGAAGAAAAACCUCCAAACCCCAGCCCGAGCCUAAUCCCAAUCCACCAAUGCAGCCACUGAUCCCCACCACCACCCUUAGUUCCUCUCUUGUCGUCACCACUACUCCACCAUCCUCCCCUAACCACUCCCACCCUUUUCCAGCCACUGCCGACCACUCUUCCAUAUCUGCCACUGUUCACCCCUCCCCAACCCAUCUCUGCCACCUCUGCCCAUUCCGGGCCCGUUGGUGAUUCAAUCCACCAUACGGUCCACCAUAAACUUCCCUUCACAAUCUAAGUACAAGGAUACGGAUACCCAACACAGCCAAGAAAACAAUAGGAACACAUGGAUAUGUAAUUUUUCUAAAAAUUGGGACAUGGACACGCCCUUGUACUAAGAACGUUCAAAUUCUUAAUUAAUUUUUAUAGUGUCGAAUCUCUUUCUCCAAGAAAACGGGGACAAUGUGACGGCUGCCAAUCACUAUAUACACAUUGUAUAACUCAAGGACCUCACAGGUUGGUGGUGUAAAAAUUGGAUCUAUCUAAUGGCAAUUUCCUAAAGACAAUAAAUAUGGGAAUCCCUCUCCCCAUCUGCUCUCUCCUCUUUCUUUAUCUAUCCAUCACCCUCUCUCUUUCUAUACAUACUGCAUUUAGAAGUGUAUAUGUAUAAGCAUAGAUACAUAUAUAUUCACUCUUGCUAAACUGAAAAACUUCCUGGCCUGCUAGCUAUUUGGACAAUUUCCUAUUCUUACUGAAUCUAACGGAUCCCUUACUUGAAGAUUAAAAGCUAGGUACGUUUGUUUGAAGUAAUAAUCAUAGUGCGACACACAUUUGCUUCUUGUAAUCAUAUCAAAUCUUUUUUAGUUUAAAUGAAUUCCCAGCUAGAAGCUAAGGCCACCAAAUUAUUCAAACAGGAAACUUGAUUUACUCAUAACACUACAGGAAAUCAACUAAAAAAAAACUAAUUAACCAGAUUCUCAUAUGGGUUCGUAUGCUAAUAAACACUUUUGGGCUGUGCAUACAUUUAAUGCACAAAUUUAAACAACGUAAACUAUAUAUGACUUCGAUUCAGUUUAUGGAUAAGGAAGCGAUUAAUUUGUUACCAGGCAAAAUCGCUGACAUCAAUUCAAACGGCGAUAAGGUCAGGCACUACACAGCAUAAUUGAUUUUCCUUCAAAACUUGUGCUAUGCUAGUGACAAUAUUGCUAAAGGCUUGGAUAGUCAUUGUAGAACUCACCCUUUCAAGUUGAACUUCAUGUCAAACUUUAAUUGCAAACUUUUAGGUAGACAUUCUUGAAUGAAACUAGAUUCAUGAAGUGAACCGUUAAUAGAAAUUUUUGUAACCGUUAAUACAAAAUGAGAAUUGGCCGCCAGUAUUUGACAAAACAGGAUUCUCCAAGUUUUGUAGAAUUUCAAGUCCUUUUGCUCUCUGUACCGAAAACAAAUGCGCUACACCUCAUCUCUCCACUGUCAAUUUCACAUUUUUGAUCUUUGGUCCCUUGUUCCAUCGUUCACUUGAUUUUUGUCUACCAGUAUUUUUGUCAAUUGUAUACCAGAGAAUGUAAGCUCACUCACACAUUUUAAUCCCAACUCUUUGUUAUUUUAUCUUAUGGCUCUAUCUAUAAUUAAAAAUUUAAUUUCAAAAAUAAUCCCUAAUUGUGUCCCUUAAUGAGUAUAAUUGAACCUAAAAUAGAUAACAACUAUAAAUUUUAAAUCUUUCCAAAACGAAAUUAUGGGAAUGGGUAUUCAAUUUUUCCACAAUGUUAAAUAACAAAAUAUACUCUUGUUUGCGAAAAUAAUUCUUAGCCUUGUGGUAAGUAGUUAGCGUUAGUCUCCAAGUCUCCAAGUCAGGCUCUAUAACUAUUCUCUACCAUUAUUUUCAAUUUUUCUAUUUUCUUUAAUUUCAUGAUCCACUUUGGGUGGUGAAUAUUUUGCGGACUUUAAAUACUACAAUUUUUUUAGUUCCACAAUUCAUUCAGGUUAUCUUAUAAAAAAAUAAAAUUUAAUCUGUCAAUGCCCUUUAAUUUCAAAACCCAAAAAGCUAUUUUUAUAGGUUGAUACUUAGAAGUUAUUUGAUUUUGAUUUCAUGAUCUUUGAUCAAACACAUGAGAAGAAGCAUUGAGUUGAAAUGUAUAGGGUGAAAAACCUUGAUUAUAAACUUAAUUAGUUAUUUACUUUAUUUACAAUUAAAAAUAUGAUAAGGGCAACGUAUAAAUGAUAUUCCACUUUGGUUGUAGCUAAUUUAAUUGUUUCUAUUAUCACUGUUUUAGAUUUUUUUUAAAUUUUUUUGUCAACUAUUUUUUAUAACAAAAAUUGAAGUCAAACUUGCCUAGAUAUGGUCUUUUGACUUCAAUUUUUUUUUUAAAAAAAAUAGUUAAUGACAAAAAAUAAGAAAAUCUAAAACAAUGAUUGUAGAAAAAAAAUUAAAUGAGCGACAAUAUUUUUAAUUGUAACUUAAGUAAAUAACCAAUUAAACUUGUAAUUAAAAUUUUAAUCAUAUACUUUCAAUAGGUGAAGUAGUUAUUUAUUCAAUGUUUUUUAUGAAGUGUUUGAAGGAACAUGGGUGAAAUUAAAAUCAAUAAUUUUGAACUUUUAUCAAUAAAAAUAGUUUUUUUGGUCUUGGUAUUAAAGGUAUAGCCUGAUAUGAUUUUUCUUUUUGAUGGGAUAACCGGAGUGUAGUGAUGAGGAAUUAAUAAAACUAUUUUAAUUAUUAAAGCCUAAAAAAAUUAUAAUCAACCUUUAUCAAUAAAAAUAGUUUUUUUUGGCUUGGUAUUAAAGGUAGUCUGAUAUGAUUUUUUUUUCUUUUUUAGAUGGGAUAGCCGGAGUGGAUUGGCGAAUUAAUAAAAUGUAGUAAUUGAAGCCUAAAUUUUUUUUAUGUAAAAUGGUAGGAGGGCCCCACAGUAUUAUAAAAUUACAAGAAUUAAAAAAAAUUCCAAAGAAUAGGCAAAGAACAACUCAAAAUGGGUGUUUGAUGCAACUUGUUAGCAACUUUUAUUUUUUCCAUUUGAAAAUUGUACUACAAUGUUUGUCACAGUAAAACUAACUACGUAGCACAAGAUCAAGUGUUAAAUUAAGGAAUUUUUAUUUAACAUAAUACAUAUAACUUAUA